GUCGGGAAUAUUGCCCAAUGGUCGAAAGACUGAGGCAGCAACGCCGCGUGCGCGAUGAAGGCCUUCGGGUCGUAAAGCGCUUUUCGGGUGGAUGAGGAAGGACAGUACACCCGGAAUAAGGAACGGCUAACUACGUGCCAGCAGCCGCGGUAAAACGUAGGUUCCGAGCGUUAUCCGGAUUUACUGGGCGUAAAGCGCGUUCAGGCGGUUUGGCAAGUCGGGCAUGAAAUCUCUCGGCUCAACCGGGAGAGGUUGUCCGAUACUGCUGGACUUGAGGGCAGUAGAGGGUGGUGGAAUUCCGGGUGUAGUGGUGAAAUGCGUAGAUAUCCGGAGGAACACCAGUGGCGAAAGCGGCCACCUGGACUGCACCUGACGCUGACACGCGAAAGCUAGGGGAGCGAACGGGAUUAGAAACCCGGGUAGUCC
rnacentral:rRNA from 1 species